GUUAUUGCUUGAGCGUAUAGUCUUGGUUAUUAUUGUUAUUAUUAUUAUUACAAUAUUGCCUGCUCCCAAAAGGGCUUUUCAGCAGGUAAUUACAAAUCAUUUAUAUGCUACAAACAAUAUAUAUACACCCACAAACAUACAUACAUACAUACAUACAUACAUACAUACAUACAUACAUACAUACAUACAUACAUACAUACAUACAUACAUACAUACAUACAUACAUACAUACAUACAUACAUACAUACAUACAUACAUACAAACACAAAUUAAAAUUUAUAAUUAUUAGUAAUGUCACUUAAAAAAUGUUAACUACUUCCUAAUAAAAUCCAUACAGUAAAAACGUUUAUAUGCUAAUUUAAACAAGCCCAAAUUGUCUAAAACUAUUAACUACCUUCUAAAAAUCCAUGCAAUAAAUGACAUUUAUAUUCUAGUUUAAACCGGUCCAAAGUGUCAAUGCCUUUAAUAUGAUUUGUGAGCUCAUUCCAAAUAGACACUGCGCAAUAUGGUGCGCAAAAUGGUGUUAACACUGGCUGCGCAAAAUGGUGUUAACACUGUGAGUCUUUGAUCUCAUUUCGAAUUUGUCACACAAGUAUGGCGGAGCUAACCCUUUCAUGCACUUAAAUGUCAUAACCGCAUCCCUGAGUUUUAACACACACUCAACUGGAAGCCAGGCUAAGUACUCGUUUUUGAAUUCGUUCAAUGCAUGCUCUCCUUCUGUUCUUGGGUUAUGUAAACCUCCGUUCCAAAUCUCUGCACAGAAACCUUCUGAGAUCGUUAUCCGUCGGGAAGAUAUCAUUAACACCAUUAUAUUUGCCAGUACUAGUAGUAUAGUCUAUAGUAUAGUCGGCAAGCGAGCCUGGGUCAUUGCGUUUAUAUGACAAAUUCCAUCCCACGACUUUAGCAAGAUCUUGGGUCACGCAUGGCUUGCCCCAUAUAUAAACAGCCCCUAAACCAUGACUUGUUACACGUAAGAAAGUUCUGAAAUUUUCAAAAAUGAAGAAAUAAACCACCUUGGCGUCGA